UCAAUCAUUGUUUUCGCGAUCUACUAGGCCUACUUAUUUCCAACAGUAGAUGGCGCUGUAUCAAUAGUACAAGGCCCACCAGAAUAUCUAGGAUGGUCUUACAUCAACCACAAUCACACUGACAGACAUAUGUUAGGUGCGCUCUAAAUUGAGAAAAGUUGUAAACAGCGUUUAAUCCAAAAUUCAAAGUUCAUUUGUCCAAUGGGCAGUUCAACGCAUACCUCAAAUCGACCGAGAACUUGGCAAUUGUACAUGUUUAACUUGGUCGGGCCCACAGCUGUGAGGCAGCGUUCAACAUGACCAACCAAAUAUAGCUAUCCUGGCAGGACAAGAUAAGCUCCCUGAAUCAGAGAAAGUGUUGGGAGUGGAACUAAAGGGGUAAAGAAAGAGAGAAAUUUGGCUUCUAAGCUGUAGCAUUUCUGUUGCGAUGGCUGACUGAAGAAUUUAUGAAUUAGGACUGUUAAGAUGUACAAUUUUAGAUGCACAUUUUUCAAAAGCUCUGGCUAGGCUCUGUUAUGCAUUUUUGUAUGCAUAUUUUACUUGAAAUGACAACAUUUAUUUUGCAUUAGAGCGCUUAUUAUUUAUAGUCCCUCCGGUUCAAUGUGAAAAGCAUGACGACAAGUAUUGCUGAAAUAUAAAUGAAUUGUACUUUCUUUAUAUUAUUUCAUUCAGCUGUUAUAUGCACUCUAACUAGGCUACUUUAAUAUACACGGCAAUGAAGAAUAACGCAUUCUAGGCAUGAGGAUGUCCCAGACCUUUGCGCGACAAAGAAUAUUCUCUAACUGGGACCUCUUUGAGUUGUUACUGAAUACUCAUGCCAUGAUGCCAGAUCCAAAUAUAUCAUGGCUUGUCUGAGCUAGUUUGAAACCUUUGACUCUUGGUGUAUCACUAAAUUGUAAUCAAGAUAUUUUGCCUCAUAUGCAAAUGGUAAACAAUGGAUGAAUACACAUGCAAGAUUGCCAGAGUCACCCUUUAUACACAAUAAUGACUGCAAUAAUGCAAGGGCCGGUGGGGAAGUCAGCAAAACUGUUCAUGCUCGCUAUUUUCACUUUUAUUUUUAUAAUUUAUUCUAUAUAAAUAUGUAUGUUUCAACAUGUAGAGCUCAUAUCCUCUAAAACUCAAACAACUACUCUCUAACUUUCCAUUAAUCUAAGGGAAAUCAUGGUUGCUGUGGGGAUUAUCACGCUUCCGGGCGGGAUUUGUUUUCAUUUUGCAUUAACACUUCCGGCGCAGUUCAACAAUGGCUGAAACAAAGGCUAGAUGUCACUGCUCUGUUCCACUUUGUACAUCUAACAAACAACGCCAACCCUACUUAAGUUUUCAUGGAUUCCCGACUGAAUUGACUCUAAGGAAGAAGUGGAUUCAAGCGGUUUGCCGGGAUGAAGGGCCAAACUUUAAAAUCAAACAAGGUAGCACGUUUGUUUGUAGCCGGCACUUUAGUGAAUCAGACUACACUAACGCUACAGCUAGCAGGCUAGCAACCAACCGGGGUCACAUCCAGCGACUGAAAAUCGGGUCUGUACCCUCCCGUUUCCAGUGGAACAACUGGGGACUGCCAAGAAGGGAGUCCGUUUAUAAAAGAGCAUCAACUCGCUUAGGCCAUGACGUUCACCCAGCCCUUCCUCUGGAGCAACCGCUGCCGUGUGAAUAAGAGCCGACGGAGGAGAUCGCAGCUUCGGUGGUGAUGACAGAACAUGAUUUCGGUUCUGCUCCUAAAGCAGGUAUACUGGAUGCUGCUGCUGCACGCAUACAGCAAUUGGAAGAAACAGUCAAGGGGCUGACGAGAGCUGUCACAGCUGAAAGCCUGCAAGAGAAGGUGCUGGCUGACAUGUUUCAGGUCAGUGUUUCCACUGUCUCCCGUGUUGUUAUAAUGUGGGCCAACUACCGUUACCUGCUCCUUGUCGAGAACACCAUGCCAAGCAAAUUUGUGCAGUACAGUCGAGAUGUUCGGGUAAUCAUCGACUGCACCGAGGUGCGAUGCCAGAAUCCAUCAUCCCUCACCCUCCAGUCUGAGGUUUUUCUCAUUUUACAAGAACACGACAACCUUAAAGGCCUUGAUUGGGAUUGCCCCUUGUAGUGCUGUGACUUUUGGUUCAAGUCUCUUCACCGGCUCCAUCUCUGACCGAGAGCUGACUGAACGAAGUGGACUGCUGGAUUUACCGGAGCCAGGAGAUGGCUGCAUGGCAGACAAGGGUUUCACCAUCGAGAAGCCACUAGCUGAUCGUGGGGCAACGCUGAUUAUACCACCCUUCAAGAUGACAGUUCAUCAAAGAGGAUUCUCUGAAAACACAAGCAAUCGACCCGACUUCGAAUCCUCGUGGAAAGAGCAAUACGCAGAGUCGAGGAAUACCGCAUCUGGGAACGCACUGUCCUCUCACCUUGUCUGGGACAGUCAACCAGCUGUGGACCGUCUGCUGUGUGAUGACCAACUUCCAGGGACCACUUGAUUUAAAAGGCUACAUCCCUGUGGAAUAGUGUUUCUAGUCAAACAUAUACCUAUAAAUAUAAUAUAUAAAUAUUAAAAUGAGAGACAAUGAACAUUUGGAGUGGUCCCUUCAUUUUUUCGGAGCUGUAAUUCUUUAUACUGAAAACAUUGUAUAUAUUGAAUGACAUGUAUAUAAUUGAAUGAGAAGUCUUUCAUCUAUAAUCAAUUUUAAAGUCAAGUCAGUCCAUCCUGAAAGUAUUCAAAAUAAUGUUAAUAUGUAAUGUAGUAAAUGAUGUACUCAGUUCCUUUA